AUGAACGCUAGCUACAGGCUUAACACAUGCAAGUCGAGGGGCAGCAUGAACUUAGCUUGCUAAGUUUGAUGGCGACCGGCGCACGGGUGAGUAACACGUAUCCAACCUGCCGAUGACUCGGGGAUAGCCUUUCGAAAGAAAGAUUAAUACCCGAUGGCAUAGUUCUUCCGCAUGGUAGAACUAUUAAAGAAUUUCGGUCAUCGAUGGGGAUGCGUUCCAUUAGGUUGUUGGCGGGGUAACGGCCCACCAAGCCUUCGAUGGAUAGGGGUUCUGAGAGGAAGGUCCCCCACAUUGGAACUGAGACACGGUCCAAACUCCUACGGGAGGCAGCAGUGAGGAAUAUUGGUCAAUGGACGAGAGUCUGAACCAGCCAAGUAGCGUGAAGGAUGACUGCCCUAUGGGUUGUAAACUUCUUUUAUACGGGAAUAAAGUGAGGCACGUGUGCCUUUUUGUAUGUACCGUAUGAAUAAGGAUCGGCUAACUCCGUGCCAGCAGCCGCGGUAAUACGGAGGAUCCGAGCGUUAUCCGGAUUUAUUGGGUUUAAAGGGAGCGUAGGCGGACGCUUAAGUCAGUUGUGAAAGUUUGCGGCUCAACCGUAAAAUUGCAGUUGAUACUGGGUGUCUUGAGUACAGUAGAGGCAGGCGGAAUUCGUGGUGUAGCGGUGAAAUGCUUAGAUAUCACGAAGAACUCCGAUUGCGAAGGCAGCCUGCUGGACUGUAACUGACGCUGAUGCUCGAAAGUGUGGGUAUCAAACAGGAUUAGAUACCCUGGUAGUCCACACAGUAAACGAUGAAUACUCGCUGUUUGCGAUAUACAGUAAGCGGCCAAGCGAAAGCGUUAAGUAUUCCACCUGGGGAGUACGCCGGCAACGGUGAAACUCAAAGGAAUUGACGGGGGCCCGCACAAGCGGUGGAUUAUGUGGUUUAAUUCGAAGCAACGCGAAGAACCUUACCAAGUCUUGACAUCCUGCGACGAUGCUGGAAACAGUAUUUUCCUUCGGGACGCAGAGACAGGUGGUGCAUGGUUGUCGUCAGCUCGUGUCGUGAGAUGUUGGGUUAAGUCCCGCAACGAGCGCAACCCUUAUCGAUAGUUACCAUCAGGUUAUGCUGGGGACUCUGUCGAGACUGCCGUCGUAAGAUGUGAGGAAGGUGGGGAUGACGUCAAAUCAGCACGGCCCUUACGUCCGGGGCUACACACGUGUUACAAUGGGGGGUACAGAAGGCAGCUACACGGCGACGUGAUGCUAAUCCCGAAAGCCUCUCUCAGUUCGGAUUGGAGUCUGCAACCCGACUCCAUGAAGCUGGAUUCGCUAGUAAUCGCGCAUCAGCCACGGCGCGGUGAAUACGUUCCCGGGCCUUGUACACACCGCCCGUCAAGCCAUGAAAGCCGGGGGUACCUGAAGUGCGUAACCGCAAGGAGCGCCCUAGGGUAAAACUGGUGAUUGGGGCU
rnacentral:rRNA from 1 species